CCGUCCUGUGCCCCAAGUGAAUUGUAACAUUUUUGCCUGUAUAUUCUUGAAAUAUGAGUUUGGUGCUUUCCAUGGGAGGUUCCUGAAUACGUAUUGGAGUUUUGGCAAUAUGGACAUUUUAAGUGCUAUUAUGCGCUCCGCCCAGGAUAAGAAAAUGUGUCCCCAGCCCUUCAGGAUUCCGGAGCAGUCUUUCCAGACCCCGUUAUAGUUGGAAGGAAACAUAUCAUUUGGGUUUUU